rnacentral:rRNA from 1 species
GACGAACGCUGGCGGCGUGCCUAACACAUGCAAGUCGAACGAAGAGCGACGGAAGCUUGCUUCUAUCAAUCUUAGUGGCGAACGGGUGAGUAACGCGUAAUCAACCUGCCCUUCAGAGGGGGACAACAGUUGGAAACGACUGCUAAUACCGCAUACGAUCUAACCUCGGCAUCGAGGAUAGAUGAAAGGUGGCCUCUACAUGUAAGCUAUCACUGAAGGAGGGGAUUGCGUCUGAUUAGCUAGUUGGAGGGGUAACGGCCCACCAAGGCGAUGAUCAGUAGCCGGGCUGAGAGGAUGAACGGCCACAUUGGGACUGAGACACGGCCCAGACUCCUACGGGAGGCAGCAGUGGGGAAUCUUCCGCAAUGGACGAAAGUCUGACGGAGCAACGCCGCGUGAGUGAUGACGGCCUUCGGGUUGUAAAGCUCUGUUAAUCGGGACGAAAGGCCUUCUUGCGAAUAGUGAGAAGGAUUGACGGUACCGGAAUAGAAAGCCACGGCUAACUACGUG